UCUAAUAUGGCAGAAUAGUGCAAUGAAUUUAAGCUUCAUUUAUAAAGAAAGAUCUUUUAUUAGAA
rnacentral:tRNA from 1 species